AUCCGGAGCCAAGGUCCGCUCGGUAUCUUAAAUAGUGAAGAUGGAGAAAUAGUCAAUAAUGAAGAGCAUGAAUAUGCAUCCAAAAAAAGGAAAAAGGACCAUUUUAGAAAUGACACAAAUACUCAAAGUUUUUAUCAUGAAAAAUGGAUCUAUGUCCAUAAAGAAAGCACAAAAGAAAGGCAUGGCUAUUGCACCUUGGGAGAAGCCUUUAAUCGGUUAGACUUCUCAAGUGCAAUUCAAGAUAUCCGAAGGUUCAAUUAUGUGGUCAAAGAUUUAGGCAGAGGGAUAUCAGCUGCAUGGAGAUCCAUUUAUGACCCAAGAGGUAAAGACAAGAAAAUGGGGCCCAGAGAGAUGGGCUGAAGGUCACAAUGGAAUCAAGGACAGAGACCAAAAACGUAGCUGUCCUGACAGCCGUGAAGAGCUUCUUCAUUACGACUUUAUUUCCUAAGUCUAUAAACUUUGAUUUUCCUCUGAUGUAAAUUAAGUGACUUUCUUAAAUGCAUCAUAUGACUUUUUAAAAAAUUUUUUAAAUUAUACUUUUAAGUUCUGGUAUACAUAUGCUCAAUGUGCAGGUUUGUUACAUAGGUAUACACAUGCCAUGGUGGUUUGCUGCACCCAUCAACCCGUCAUCUACAUUAGGUAUUUCUCCUAAUGCUAUCCGUCCCCUAGCCCCCCACCCCCCGACAGGCCCUGGUGUGUGAUGUUCCCCUCCCUGUGCCCAUGUGUUCUCAUUGUUCGGCUCCCACUUAUGAAUAAGAACAUGUGGUGUUUGGUUUUCUGUUCUCGUGUUAGUUUGCUGAGAAUAAUGGUUUCCAGCUUCAUCCACGUCCUUGCAAAGGACAUGAACUCAUCCUUUUUUAUGACUGCAUAGUAUUCCAUGGUGUAUAUGUGCCACAUUUUCUUUAUCCAGUCUAUCACUGAUGGGCAUUUGGGUUGGUUCCAAGUCUUUGCUAUUGUGAACAGUGCUGCAAUAAACAUACGUGUGCGUGUGUCUUUAUAGUAGAAUGAUUUAUAAUCUUUUCAUCAUACUACCUGACUUCAGACUAUAUUACAAGGCUACAGUAACCAAAACAGCAUGAUACUGGCACCAAAACAGAUAUAUAGACCAAUGGAACAGAACAGAGGCCUCAGAAAUAACGCCACACAUCUACAACCAUCUGAUCUUUCACAAACCUGAGAAAAACAAGCAAUGGGGAAAGGGUUCCCUAUUUAAUAAAUGGUGUUGGGAAAACUGGCUAGCCAUAUGCAAAAAACUGAAACUGGACCACUUCCUUACACCUUUAUACAAAAAUUAACUCAAGAUGGAUUAAAGACUUAAACAUAAGACCUAAAACCAUAAAAACCCUAC
rnacentral:lncRNA from 1 species